CGGCACAGCAUUAUAUUUACAAACAGGCACGGAAGACCUUACACCUUAAGAGUAAUUUAGGAGUCGUUCAGAACAUUUACAAAUGAGAAAGGCAACAGGAUUUGUCAACAACAAUACAAACCUUAUCAUUCUUUUCCGCACAUGUACUUCUAAAGGUGCCAGAACGAGAAUCCACUGGAUUGAUUAUACAAUAACCUUUCAAUCUGAUGAUAUAGUUCAUCUAAAUGUACUUGGAAAUAUGAACCACAGUGCGGCAAAUAUGGUGCUCCUUUUCAGAGAAUUCAUGAUCUGCAGGAAGGUAGAGUGAUGCCUCCGCAACAAGCAGCAAUUAUCAAGUAAAGGAAGAGCACAAUCAGGCAUGUCAACAAACCCAGGAGCUUUGCGUUUUUCAUCCAAAGAGCUCUCCUAAGGCGCUUCGACUGUUUCCUGAAGUGAAAUGCAUUGUCUUGCAUUGUUCCUGUUUUGUCAACGAGUAGCUCAAUCCGAUCCCCCCUCUCAAGUAUUUUCUCAAUAUUAUCAACCAUGAUGGUGCGUAUCUCACCAACUUCUCCUCUGACACGAUUUAGUGUAUCUGCACUUGGAUUACUUGAAAAGAACUCCAUUUGCUGAUGCAAGACCCUUGAGAAUUCAUCAUUCAUGGAAUAGGCAGGAGCAUAAGAAGCCACCUUACCAUAGUUCUUCAUGAACCUCAUCUGAAUAUCCUCCAAGUAUGAGAACGGAAUCCUCCUUCCAAAGGUUUCGUUAGCCAUACAAAGGAAGGUGAUUCCAUUCGAUCGGAGUAUAUGGAAGAUGUACCGAUCCUGAGAGAAACAAAGCCUCGAUUCCGUUUCAUUUGGAAGCUUCUCCAAUAUCCGCCGCGCCACCGCCCCGGUGUUCCCCGUCACGGCACUGAACUCCGCCAGCACCGUUGUGCCUCUCGCCACAACCGCAUACACUAUCGCCAUUUCUCUCUCACACAGAUACGUAUCGAAAAAGUAUGGAGCUUCG
rnacentral:misc_RNA from 1 species